UACGUAGGGUGCAAGCGUUAAUCGGAAUUACUGGGCGUAAAGCGUGCGCAGGCGGUUUUGUAAGUUUGUCGUGAAAGCCCCGGGCUCAACCUGGGAAUUGCGAUGGAGACUGCAAGGCUAGAAUCUGGCAGAGGGGGGUAGAAUUCCACGUGUGAGACAGUGAAAUGCGUGAGAGAGUGUGGAGGAACACCGAUGGCGCAAGGCAGCCCCCUGG
rnacentral:rRNA from 1 species